rnacentral:rRNA from 1 species
UACGGGGGGGGCAAGCGUUGUUCGGAAUUACUGGGCGUAAAGGGCUCGUAGGUGGCCAACUAAGUCAGACGUGAAAUCCCUCGGCUUAACCGGGGAACUGCGUCUGAUACUGGAUGGCUUGAGUUUGGGAGAGGGACGCGGAAUUCCAGGUGUAGCGGUGAAAUGCGUAGAUAUCAGGAGGAACACCUGUGGUGUAGACGGCUUUCUGGACCAUAGCUGACGCUGAGACACGAAAGCGUGGGUAGCAAACAGG